rnacentral:rRNA from 1 species
UACGUAGGGUGCGAGCGUUGUCCGGAAUUAUUGGGCGUAAAGAGCUCGUAGGCGGUGUGUCACGUCGGCCGUGAAAACCUGCAGCUUAACUGUGGGCUUGCAGUCGAUACGGGCAGACUUGAGUUCGGUAGGGGAGACUGGAAUUCCUGGUGUAGCGGUGAAAUGCGCAGAUAUCAGGAGGAACACCGGUGGCGAAGGCGGGUCUCUGGGCCGAUACUGACGCUGAGGAGCGAAAGCGUGGGGAGCGAACAGG